rnacentral:rRNA from 1 species
AUUGAACGCUGGCGGCAUGCCUUACACAUGCAAGUCGAACGGUAACAGGUCUUCGGAUGCUGACGAGUGGCGCACGGGUGCGUAAUACAUCGGAACGUGCCCAGACCUGGGUGAUAAUGAGGCGAAAGCUUUGCUAAUACCGCAUACGAUCUAAGGCUGACAGCUGGUGACCGCAAGGCCUUGUGCGUCCGGAGCGGCCGAAGUCAGCUUAGGUAGGUGGUGGGAUAAAAGCUUACCAAGCCGACGAUCUGUAGCUGGUCUGAGAGGACGACCAGCCACACUGGGACUGAGACACGGCCCAGACUCCUACGGGAGGCAGCAGUGGGGAAUAUUGGACAAUGGGCGCAAGCCUGAUCCAGCAAUGCCGCGUGCAUGAUGAAGGCCUUCGGGUUGUAAACUGCUUUUGUACGGAACGAAAAGGCUCAGGCUAAUACCUGGGGCACAUGACGGUACCGAAAGAAUAAGCACCGGCUAACUACGUG